rnacentral:rRNA from 1 species
UACGUAGGUGGCAAGCGUUAUCCGGAAUUAUUGGGCGUAAAGAGUGCGCAGGUGGUUGAUUAAGUCUGAUGUGAAAGCCCACGGCUUAACCGUGGAGGGUCAUUGGAAACUGGUCGACUUGAGUGCAGAAGAGGGAAGUGGAAUUCCAUGUGUAGCGGUGAAAUGCGUAGAGAUAUGGAGGAACACCAGUGGCGAAGGCGGCUUCCUGGUCUGUAACUGACGCUGAGGAGCGAAAGCGUGGGUAGCGAACAGGAUUAGAUA